rnacentral:snRNA from 1 species
AUACUUACCUGGCAGGGGAGAUACCAUGAUCACGAAGGUGGUUUUCCCAGGGCGAGGCUUAUCCAUUGCACUCCAUAUGUGCUGACCCCUGCGAUUUCCCCAAAUGUGGGAAACUCGACUGCAUAAUUUGUGGUAGUGGGGGACUGCGUUCGCGCUCUCCCCUG